GAUGAAGAACGUAGCGAAAUGCGAUAAGUAAUGUGAAUUGCAGAAUUCAGUGAAUCAUCGAAUCUUUGAACGCACCUUGCGCCCUUUGGCCAUUCCGAAGGGCAUGCCUGUUUGAGUAUCAUGAACACCUCAACUCUUCAUGGUUUUCCGUGAUGAGCUUGGACUUUGGGGGUCUUGCUGGCCUAUGGUCAGCUCCUCUAAAAUAAAUCAGCUUGCCAGUGUUUGGUGGGUAUCACAGGUGUGAUAACUAUCUACGCUUGUGGUUUUCCACCAGGUAACCUUCAGCAGUGGAGGUUCGCUGGAGCUCACCGAUGUGUCUCUCCUCAGUGAGGACAGCUCUUUGAAUGUUUGAUCUCAAAUCAGGUAGGACUACCCGCUGAACUUAAGCAUAUCAAUAAGCGGAGGA
rnacentral:misc_RNA from 1 species